rnacentral:rRNA from 1 species
GAUGAACGCUGGCGGCGUGCUUAACACAUGCAAGUCGAACGGGAUCCAUCAAGCUUGCUUGGUGGUGAGAGUGGCGAACGGGUGAGUAAUGCGUGACCGACCUGCCCCAUACACCGGAAUAGCUCCUGGAAACGGGUGGUAAUGCCGGAUGCUCCAGUUGAUCGCAUGGUCUUCUGGGAAAGCUUUCGCGGUAUGGGAUGGGGUCGCGUCCUAUCAGCUUGACGGCGGGGUAACGGCCCACCGUGGCUUCGACGGGUAGCCGGCCUGAGAGGGCGACCGGCCACAUUGGGACUGAGAUACGGCCCAGACUCCUACGGGAGGCAGCAGUGGGGAAUAUUGCACAAUGGGCGCAAGCCUGAUGCAGCGACGCCGCGUGAGGGAUGGAGGCCUUCGGGUUGUAAACCUCUUUUAUCGGGGAGCAAGCGAGAGUGAGUUUACCCGUUGAAUAAGCACCGGC